CCCUUCAUCACCAUCAAGAGACGACAAAGAUAGAUCUGAAUGUAGACCUGUAACGAAUCCUUAGAAGUAUAUACAAUGCCAAUUCCUUAACUGUUUGUAUGAAAACGAAAAGAAAACCAAUUAUAAGAAGGCGUAAAGUAUUUGGUUUUUAAAGAAAAUUUACGGUCCCGUAACCGAAUAAAGUCACAUUCAAUUUGACAGUUCCAUGUUUAAAAUACUCGUAUGAAGAUUUAUUAAGGCUCUUACAAAAAUCCUAAUACAUAAAGAAAGAUAACAUAUAUAUAUAUAGGCGCUAUCAGCAUUGAUGACUUGAUGACGGAUGCAACGUGGAAAUAACUUAUCGGCGUUCACGAUCAUUGUUCAAGUAAAACGAAAUCAAAGGCUGCUUGAAAGGAGAAGAGAACUAUGUUUGAAUUCUGGCACAGAUACGGCAGAGUCCAGAGAGCGCGGACCCUUGAGGAACGUGACUGUGAAGAAUCUUCGAGAAAUACAAGGACGUUCAGAAGAAUUGAGGAUUCGUUUUAGAACAACACGGAACUACUGGAAGAAGUGACGUUAGUGACGUCAGCGAGGCCGGCGUCUCACUCUCUGUUUAAACAACGAGUUUGUAUUAAAUCCGAUAAGUAAA